UACGUAGGGGGCAAGCGUUAUCCGGAUUUACUGGGUGUAAAGGGAGCGUAGACGGCAGAGCAAGUCUGAAGUGAAAGCCCGCGGCCCAACUGCGGGACUGCUUUGGAAACUGCCCGGUUAGAGUGCUGGAGAGGUAAGCGGAAUUCCUAGUGUAGCGGUGAAAUGCGUAGAUAUUAGGAGGAACACCAGUGGCGAAGGCGGCUUACUGGACAGUAACUGACGUUGAGGCUCGAAAGCGUGGGGAGCAAACAGG
rnacentral:rRNA from 1 species